rnacentral:rRNA from 1 species
GGCCAGACUCCUACGGGAGGCAGCAGUGGGGGAUAUUGCACAAUGGGGGGAACCCUGAUGCAGCGACGCCGCGUGGGUGAAGAAGCGCCUCGGCGCGUAAAGCCCUGUCAGCAGGGAAGAAAAUGACGGUACCUGAAGAAGAAGCCCCGGCUAACUACGUGCCAGCAGCCGCGGUAAUACGUAGGGGGCAAGCGUUAUCCGGAUUUACUGGGUGUAAAGGGGGCGCAGACGGCGAUGCAAGCCAGGAGUGAAAGCCCGGGGCCCAACCCCGGGACUGCUUUGGAAACUGUAUGGCUGGAGUGCAGGAGAGGUAAGUGGAAUUCCUAGUGUAGCGGUGAAAUGCGUAGAUAUUAGGAGGAACACCAGUGGCGAAGGCGGCUUACUGGACUGUAACUGACGUUGAGGCUUGAAAGCGUGGGGAGCAAACAGGAUUAGAUCCCCGUGUAGA